UUUAGCACCGGUAAUGGAUUCUGCCUGAUCCUUUGAAUAAGGAUCGAACCGCCAAUCAGGCUAAUGACUCCUGCUCAAAC
rnacentral:ncRNA from 2 species